CGGACGGGUGAGUAACGCGUGAGAAUCUGCCUUUAGGUCCGGGACAACCACUGGAAACGGUGGCUAAUACCGGAUGUGCCGCAACGUGAAAGGGGAAACCCGCCUGAAGAUGUGCUCGCGUCUGAUUAGCUAGUUGGUGAGGUAAAGGCUCACCAAGGCGACGAUCAGUAGCUGGUCUGAGAGGAUGACCAGCCACACUGGGACUGAGACACGGCCCAGACUCCUACGGGAGGCAGCAGUGGGGAAUUUUCCGCAAUGGGCGAAAGCCUGACGGAGCAAGACCGCGUGAGGGAAGAAGGCUCUUGGGUCGUAAACCUCUUUUGUCAGGGAAGAACACAAUGACGGUACCUGACGAAUCAGCCUCGGCUAACUCCGUGCCAGCAGCCGCGGUAAUACGGAGGAGGCAAGCGUUAUCCGGAAUUAUUGGGCGUAAAGCGUCCGUAGGUGGCUAGUCAAGUCUGCGGUCAAAGACUGGGGCUUAACCCUGGAAAGGCCGUGGAAACUGACGAGCUAGAGUGCAGUAGGGGUAGAGGGAAUUCCCGGUGUAGCGGUGAAAUGCGUAGAGCUCGGGAAGAACAUCGGUGGCGAAAGCGCUCUACUGGACUGCAACUGACACUCAGGGACGAAAGCUAGGGGAGCGAAUGGGAUUAGAUACCCCAGUAGUC
rnacentral:rRNA from 1 species